UACGUAGGGGGCGAGCGUUGUCCGGAGUUACUGGGCGUAAAGCGCACGCAGGCGGUCUGCUAAGUUUGGAGUGACAGUUGGUGGCUUAACUGCCAAAGUGCUUCGAAAACUGACAGACUUGAGGGCUUCAGAGGGACACGGAAUUCCGGGUGGAGUGGUGAAAUGCGUAGAGAUCAGGAGGAACACCAAUAGCGAAGGCAGCUCGCUGGGACGUUACUGACACUGAGGCGCGAAAGCGUGGGGAGCGAACAGG
rnacentral:rRNA from 1 species